rnacentral:rRNA from 1 species
UACGUAGGGUGCAAGCGUUAAUCGGAAUUACUGGGCGUAAAGCGUGCGCAGGCGGUUCGCUAAAACAGAUGUGAAAUCCCCGGGCUUAACCUGGGAACUGCAUUUGUGACUGGCGGGCUAGAGUAUGGCAGAGGGGGGUAGAAUUCCACGUGUAGCAGUGAAAUGCGUAGAGAUGCGGAGGAACACCGAUGGCGAAGGCAGCCCCCUGGGUUGACACUGACGCUCAGGCACGAAAGCGUGGGGAGCAAACAGG